rnacentral:rRNA from 1 species
AUACGUAGGGAGCGAGCGUUGUCCGGAAUUACUGGGUGUAAAGGGUGCGUAGGCGGGGAUGCAAGUCAGAUGUGAAAUGUAUGGGCUCAACCCAUGAACUGCAUUUGAAACUGCAACUCUUGAGUGAGGUAGAGGUAAGCGGAAUUCCUAGUGUAGCGGUGAAAUGCGUAGAUAUUAGGAGGAACAUCGGUGGCGAAGGCGGCUUACUGGGCCUUUACUGACGCUGAGGUACGAAAGCGUGGGGAGCAAACAGGAUUAGAUACCCUGGUAGUCCACGCUGUAAACGAUGAUGACUAGGUGUGGGGGGACUGAACCCUUCCGUGCCGCAGUUAACACAAUAAGUCAUCCACCUGGGGAGUACGACCGCAAGGUUGAAACUCAAAGGAAUUGACGGGG